UGCAGUCGAGCGGAAACGAUUCUAGCUUGCUAGAAGGCGUCGAGCGGCGGACGGGUGAGUAACGCGUAGGAACCUGCCCGAUAGAGGGGGAUAGCCAUUGGAAACGAUGAUUAAUACCGCAUAAUGUCUACGGACCAAAGUAGGGGAUUCUUCGGAACCUUACACUAUCGGAUGGGCCUGCGUAGGAUUAGCUUGUUGGUGAGGUAAUGGCUCACCAAGGCGACGAUCCUUAGCUGGUCUGAGAGGAUGAUCAGCCACACUGGAACUGAGACACGGUCCAG
rnacentral:rRNA from 1 species